rnacentral:rRNA from 1 species
UCCCUGGUUGAUCCUGCCAGUAGUCAUAUGCUUGUCUCAAAGAUUAAGCCAUGCAUGUCUAAGUUCAAGCGAAAAAUAAAGUGAAACCGCGAAUGGCUCAUUAUAUCAGUUAUGGUUCCUUAGAUCGUACUUACUACUUGGAUAACUGUGGUAAUUCUAGAGCUAAUACAUGCGUUGGGCUCCAACUUUCGGGAAGGAGCGCUUUUAUUAGAUCAAAGCCAAUCGAACUCUCGGGUUCGUUUAAUUGGUGACUCUGAAUAACAUUGCUGAUCGCACGGUCUUGCACCGGCGACGUAUCUUUCAAGUGUCUGCCUUAUCAACUGUCGAUGGUAGGUUAUGCGCCUACCAUGGUUGUAACGGGUAACGGGGAAUCAGGGUUCGAUUCCGGAGAGGGAGCCUGAGAAACGGCUACCACAUCCAAGGAAGGCAGCAGGCGCGCAAAUUACCCACUCCCAGAACGGGGAGGUAGUGACGAAAAAUAACGAUACGGAACUCAUACGAGGCUCCGUAAUCGGAAUGAGUACACUUUAAAUCCUUUAACAAGGAUCCAUUGGAGGGCAAGUCUGGUGCCAGCAGCCGCGGUAAUUCCAGCUCCAAUAGCGUAUAUCAGAAUUGUUGUGGUUAAAAAGCUCGUAGUUGGAUCUCGGUUUCAGGUGAAUGGUGCAUCUUGCGAUGUUUUACUAUUUGCUUGGACGAUUUUGUUGGUUCGUUCAUAGUUCUCUUUACUGAGUGCUUUGAGUGGCCAGCACGUUUACUUUGAAAAAAUUGGAGUGCUCAAAGCAGGCGCUACAGCCUGAACAUUAGUGCAUGGAAUAAUAGAAUAGGAUCUCGGUUCUAUUUUGUUGGCUUUCGGAGUCGAGGUAAUGAUUAAUAGGGACAGACGGGGGCAUUCGUACUGCGACGUUAGAGGUGAAAUUCUUGGAUCGUCGCAAGACGAACUACUGCGAAAGCAUUUGCCAAGAAUGUUUUCAUUAAUCAAGAACGAAAGUUAGAGGUUCGAAGGCGAUCAGAUACCGCCCUAGUUCUAACCAUAAACGAUGUCGACCAGCGAUCCGUCGUCGUUAAUUUUAAUGACUCGACGGGCAGCUUCCGGGAAACCAGAGUGUUUGGAUUCCAGGGGGAGUAUGGUUGCAAAGCUGAAACUUAAAAGAAUUGACGGAAGGGCACCACCAGGAGUGGAGCCUGCGGCUUAAUUUGACUCAACACGGGAAAUCUCACCAGGCCCGGACACCGGAAGGAUUGACAGAUUGAGAGCUCUUUCUUGAUUCGGUGGGUGGUGGUGCAUGGCCGUUCUUAGUUGGUGGAGCGAUUUGUCUGGUUAAUUCCGAUAACGAACGAGACUCUGGCCUAUUAACUAGACGUUAUAUCCUAUUAUGGGUUUGACGAUGCUUCUUAGAGGGACGGGCGGCUUUUAGCCGCACGAGAAUGAGCAAUAACAGGUCUGUGAUGCCCUUAGAUGUUCUGGGCUGCACGCGCGCUACACUGAAGAAAUCAGCGUGUGCUCCCUAUCCGAAAGGAUUGGAAAUCCGUUGAACCUUCUUCGUGAUGGGGAUUGGGGAUUGCAAUUAUUCCCCAUGAACGAGGAAUUCCAGUAGGCGCGAGUCAUAAGCUUGCGUCGAUUACGUCCCUGCCCUUUGUACACACCGCCCGUCGCUACUACCGAUCGAGUGAUUUAGUGAGGACUUCGGACUGGUCUUCGAUGUGGCUUUACGGUCGUGUCGUUGUGCCGGAAAGAUGCCCAAACUUGAUUACUUAGAGGAAGUAAAAGUCGUAACAAGGUUUCCGUAGGUGAACCUGCGGAAGGAUCAUUA